GUGCCAGCCGCUGCUGCGGUAAUACGUAGGGCGCAAGCGUUGUCCGGAAUUAUUGGGCGUAAAGAGCUCGUAGGUGGUUUGUCGCGUCUGGUGUGAAAUCCCGAGGCUCAACUUCGGGCUUGCAUCGGGUACGGGCAGACUAGAGUGCGGUAGGGGAGACUGGAAUUCCUGGUGUAGCGGUGGAAUGCGCAGAUAUCAGGAGGAACACCGAUGGCGAAGGCAGGUCUCUGGGCCGCAACUGACGCUGAGGAGCGAAAGCAUGGGGAGCGAACAGGAUUAGAUACCCUGGUAGUCCAUGCCGUAAACGUUGGGCACUAGGUGUGGGGCUCAUUCCACGAGUUCCGUGCCGCAGCUAACGCAUUAAGUGCCCCGCCUGGGGAGUACGGCCGCAAGGCUAAAACUCAAAGGAAUUGACGGGGCCCGCACAAGCGGCGGAGCAUGCGGAUUAAUCGAUGCAACGCGAAGAACCUUACCAAGGCUU
rnacentral:rRNA from 1 species